CAGAAUGUAGCUUAUAUAUAAAGUUAUUUAUUUACAUUAAUUAGAAGAUCAUUAAUUAUGAUUCCUUUCUGA
rnacentral:tRNA from 1 species